rnacentral:lncRNA from 1 species
ACAAACUAAAACUAGCUAACAACAUACUAAAAGAAGUAAGAUAACAAUAAAAAAAAUCUUUUUAAAACACCGUCAUAAAUUAACUAGGAAAGACCAAAAUAACAUUCAUGAGAUGAUAUCUCAUUACAUACGCCUUAAAGAAAAAUUAACAUCAACAAAAUUUGGUCCAACUUGAAAAAUGUAAUUUAGAUAUACUAAACAUUAAAAAGAAACGAAGUAAUAAAAUUGAGGUUGCUUCUCAAAAUAUCAUUGCAAAAGCACUUCUUUAAUAGUUAGUCCUGAUUUCCAUCUUAUACAACCUGUGUAAACAAAAAUUUAAGAUUUUAUUUCAUAUAUUGGGUAAUUUAAGCAUCAAAGAAACAUAUAUAUACAAUUAGAUCACUCAUACAACCUGUGUUGAAUUUUAAAUGUGUAAUUGAGGGAAUAUGAACACUCAUACACUUUCCGUGCAAAUUAGAUUCAAGAGUACAUACAUAAUGUUUUUUCUGGAAGGGGAAAGCCAACAGAACACAAUUGAAACACAAUUAUUCUAGAACAAGAAAGCUAACAGUACUCAUGAAUUGAACUAACAGUAAACAACAAAUUACAUGUUCAGGAAGAGGAAAGCUAAUAUGAAAACAGAGAAAACAAACACAAUUGAAGAGGAAAGCUAACAGAACACAAUUCAACUAACAGAUGAUUCCACAAUUAUUCUUGAACAAGAAAGCUAACAGUACAUAAAUUGAACUAACAGUAAACAACAAAUUACAUGUUCAAGAAGAGGAAAAUUAAUAUGAAAACAGAGCAAACAAACACAAUUGAAAUCUCUCAUGCGUAGAACAUAGGUUUGGUUCGACAAUUCGUUUUUUGGUGAUUUACAUCCAACCUCUACUCUAACAGGCUAAAUAAAUAGCAGAAGAUCUAAAUUAAAUUAACGAGAACAAAGCAAUGUAGUUAUUAUUGUACCUGAAGGGAUAACUUGAUAAGGUUCAUUGAUCACUGUAUCAUGAAAAUGAAACAUAGUUAUAUAUUAGGUGUUAAAUGCUACAAACUAUUUCUAUUUAAUUAAACAAGCUAUAAUGAAAUUAUUAUAGUUUAAAGUAUACUAUGGCUAACCUUGAUCUGGAUGAGCUCAUAAACUGCUGAACUGUUUCAAAAUAUCAUCUUGACGUGCCAAUAGAGUUUUCAAGAUUACAAUUAGGAGCAAUAUGGUUAAAGUUUAACAUAAAUGAAAGCUUUGAUCUUUUAAACUUUCACUUCAAUAAAAUAUCAAAAUUGUGGCAAUUUACCAUAACCAGAAACACCAACAUCUGACAAAAUUCAGUUAAGGUAAGGAAAUAAAUUAAUAUAGGUCAAUAUAUAAUAAUAUUGUAGAGAAUCAGGCGAAGCAAAUAAAUUCAAAGAAAGAAGUAAAAUCAGUUCAAAUCAAGUAGCAACAUAAAUGGACAAUUUGUGGUUCAAAUAAAUUAAGGCAAAAGUAACCACAAAGAAUGAUCAAUUAAAUUAAGCAAAGCAAUCCAUUGACAUAUCAAAUCUUACUCAAAUACACUCAAAAAUCAGUAGCUCUAUUUGUGAUUGAAUCAAAGUGGUGCUAUUGCAAAAUGCUAGAGCGAAUGAACAAAUUUAGGCUAUCAUAAAUCACAACAGUUCAUGCUUAAGACGAGAUUCACAAAUUACCUGACUUUAACAAUCUAAACAUGCAAUAAGACUUCUAAUCGGAAAGCAAACGGCCAUUUGAGAAAUGAGAUAACUAUUAAAGAAACUAACCCACGAAUCUGUUAAGAUCCGUCUCGAAAUCUCAAACUGUGUGUUGACCAGACUCUAUUGUGUCUCGAAAUCUCAAACCGUGUGUUGACCAGACUCUAUUGGUGCUCGUCUUUGCCGUCCUCACCGUAAAAUGUGAGGAACGACGCUAGGGCUUGCUGGUCAGAGCAGCGCUCCGGUUGAUGAUGGUUGUUGGUCCAAUUUGCCAGCGACUGUUGGCUGCUCUUGCCGAAGCAAAAGAGAGGAGAAGGGUCUCGCUGGUGGCUCGGGGCUGUUCUCGCCGGAGCAAAGGAGAUGAGGAGCUCACUUGGUCCUCGCUUGCUUCCAUCUUCGCUGGAGAAGAGAGAAUGGAGGGGAAGAAGAGGGGCUCGGGGUUUCAAGAAGAGGCGGCGAGCAGGCGGCACGGGGUUUCUCAGGAGCCUGCUGGACGAAGAUGGAGGAGGUGGCGAUUUCGCCGGAAAUAGAAAACGACCCAAGGGGUCUGCGGCACUGUUCUCGUGACAAAGAGGAGAAUGAAUUAGAGUUGGGUCUUUUAGGGGUUAAAAUAUGAAGGUAUGGAUUAAUGAAUUUGGACCGUUGAUUUGAAUGAAAUGAACGGGCACGAUUAGAUCUUGAGCUUGAUCAAGGUAACAGAUGGACGAUAAGAUAGGAGGCUCUUUGUGACUUGAAUCAGAUUAGCAAUAA